UUAAAAUGCAAAUUAUAAUUUGGCUUUAAACUAAAUGUGAACAAUCUUCCAUGCUAAGUUCAUAUAAUUUUGCCAUUGGUUGUUCUUUGGUUGAAGCACUUAUAUCUUCUGGAUCCAUUAGACUUCCAAUAAAAAGUUGUUUUGAAGUGCAGCAAAGAGAAAAGCAUUUUCGUAUGCCUAUGUCACUCAAGUCUAUAUAUGCACAAAGUUUUCCAGAAGGAUUGAGGAUGUGAAGUGAAUUGGUGCUAAUAUCAUUUACUAUAAUGUUGUUUGAUGGCGCUGCCAGAAUAGCUGUUGGUGUGAACUUUUUGUGGAAUGAAUUCAUACUUGGAUGACCUUGAUAAUA
rnacentral:lncRNA from 1 species